rnacentral:rRNA from 1 species
AGCCAGACUCCUACGGGAGGCAGCAGUGGGGAAUAUUGGACAAUGGGGGGAACCCUGAUCCAGCGACGCCGCGUGAGUGAAGAAGUAUUUCGGUAUGUAAAGCUCUAUCAGCAGGGAAGAAAGAAAUGACGGUACCUGACUAAGAAGCCCCGGCUAACUACGUGCCAGCAGCCGCGGUAAUACGUAGGGGGCAAGCGUUAUCCGGAUUUACUGGGUGUAAAGGGAGCGUAGACGGCAGUGCAAGUCUGAAGUGAAAGGCGGGGGCCCAACCCCCGAACUGCUUUGGAAACUGUGCUGCUGGAGUGCAGGAGAGGCAAGUGGAAUUCCUAGUGUAGCGGUGAAAUGCGUAGAUAUUAGGAGGAACACCAGUGGCGAAGGCGACUUUCUGGACGAUAACUGACGUUGAGGCUCGAAAGCGUGGGGAGCGAACAGGAUUAGAUACCCUAGUA